UUCGCAAUGCCCGAAAGGGUGACGAAGCGACGCCGCGUGUGGGAAGAAGGCCUUCGGGUUGUAAACCACUGUCGGGAGUUAAGAAAUGCAAGGAUAUGAAUAGUGUCUUUGCUUGACUAAGGCUCCGGAGGAGGCCACGGCUAACUCUGUGCCAGCAGCCGCGGUAAUACAGAGGCGGCAAGCGUUGUUCGGAAUUAUUGGGCGUAAAGAGCACGUAGGCGGCUAUGUAAGUCGGUUGUGAAAGCCUUCCGCUCAACGGGAGAACAGCAUCCGAUACUACAUGGCUUGAGUGCGGGAGGGGAGAGUGGAACUUCUGGUGGAGCGGUGAAAUGCGUAGAUAUCAGAAGGAACGCCGGCGGCGAAAGCGGCUCUCUGGCCCAUAACUGACGCUGAGUGUGCGAAAGCUAGGGGAGCAAACGGGAUUAGAUACCCCGGUAGUCCUAGCCGUAAACGAUGGGCACUAAGUAGAGGGGUUUU
rnacentral:rRNA from 1 species